GAAUUCGAGUCGAGUUUCGAGCCGAACUAUUUCUUAAAGAGUUGAGUCGAGCUUAGACAAGUUCGACACGAUUCGAUACAUUUCCAGCCCUAACCACAGCCCAACAAGAGCAAGACUAGGAACAUAACCCAUCAGUCAACCAAUCCAAGACAAAUCUACCAUAAGUCACUAACAGUGUCAACAUAGAAUGUGUUCAUGAUCCCAAUCAUAGAAGGAACAAGUGUGACCAUAAUGUUUUCAUAAAAACCAAUUUCAAGAGGAAAAUUUAACAAUAUCCACCAACCGUAGCAGAUACGUCCCUUCUCCAAAAUGAUGUGAGCGUUUCGGGAUCUCCACAAGGGCCACACAAGGGCAAUGAGGAACUAUUGAACUUUUAUUUUGUUUGUCAGUUGCUGUUUUGGAUAAUCUUGAUCAAGUUGAUUUAUGUUACUCUUUUGGAUUAUGUUUAUGACAUAUGGUUAUGGUGUUCAGUAGAAGAGAUUUGAUGUU
rnacentral:lncRNA from 1 species